GACGAACGCUGGCGGCGUGCUUAACACAUGCAAGUCGAACGGACAGGCCCUGCUUUUGUGGGGUGCUCGAGUGGCGAACGGGGGAGUGACACGUGAGUAACCUGCCCUUGACUUUGGGAUAACUUCAGGGAACUGGGGCUCAUACCGGAUAGGAGCUCCUGCUGCAUGGGGGGGGUUGGAAAGUGUCGGCGGUGGUGGAUGGACUAGCGGCUUACCAGCUUGUUGGGGGGGUAGUGGCUUACCAAGGCUUCGACGGGUAGCCGGCCUGGGAGGGUGGCCGGCCACAUUGGGCCUACGAGACGGCCCAGACGCCUACGGGAGGCAGCGGUGGGGAAUAUUGCACAAUGGGCGGACGCCUGAUGCAGCAACGCCGCGUGCGGGAUGACGGCCUUCGGGUUGUGAACCGCUUUCGCCUGUGACGAAGCGUGAGUGACGGUACUGGGUAAAGAAGCACCGGCUAACUACGUG
rnacentral:rRNA from 1 species